AUGACAGCUGGGCGGUGCGGCGCGGGCGCGGCCGGGAUGGUGUGGGCGUGGCCCUGCACACUCGUCGGCGGCCUCAUCCAGCACCACGUCGGCCACGAUCCUCGUCCCACAUCCGCAGCUCCCCGCUGGACGCGCACACCAUCCUCCACACCACCAUGCUCCACCUCGCCGACGCCCUCGAGCUCCAGAGCUGCGCCGUGUUGGCUCUCCCACGCGUUCACGGAUGAGCGAAGCCGGGGCGGGCGUGCUGUUGGCGGACGGGCGCGGCGUGGGCGUGGCCUGGGCGGCGUGCGUGUGGGGGGACGACCGGAAAAAAUCUCACUCCCAAAGCAAAAUUUUCGCUGGGGCAACCCCAGGAGACCGAAAAAACGCCUCCUAAGGACACAACGGCUGGAGAUGCUCUAA
rnacentral:rRNA from 1 species